CGAAUUCGCCCUUAGAGUUUGAUCCUGGCUCAGGAGGAACGCUGGCGGCAUGCUUGACCCAUGUCAGUCGAACCAUCAACACUGGAGCUUGCUCUGGUGGGAUUAGUGGAGAAUGGGUGAGUAACACUUGAGCCAUUUGCCCGAGACUCUGGGAUAAGCGUUGGAAACGACGUCCAAUACUGGAUACGACACCUCCUGGCAUCAGGUGGGUGUGGAAAGAAUUUCGGUUGGGGAUGAGCUCGCGGCCUAUCAGCUUGUUGGUGAGGUAACGGCUCGACAAGGCGACGACGGGUAGCCGGCCUGAGAGGGUGACCGGCCACAUUGGGACUGAGACACUGCCCAGACUCCUACGGGAGGCAGUAGUGGGGAAUAUUGCGCAAUGAGCGCAAGCCUGAUGCAGCAACGCCGCGUGGGGGACUAAGGCCUGCUGGUUGUAAACGCCUUUUAUCACGGAAGAAGCCCACGUGACGGAACCUGCACAAAAAGCACCUGCUAACUACGUGCGAGCAGCUGCGGUGAUACCUACGGUGCAAGCGUUGGCUGAAAUUAUUGGGCGUAAACAGCUCGAUGGCGGUGUGUCUCGUCUGCUGUGA
rnacentral:rRNA from 1 species